UGUUGGACUGUAAUGUUGGCGAACACUAAGGCCAGUGUUAUCAGAGGACUUGCUAACAUGAAGAAAACAGUCCAGAGGUUCCACCUGAGAGCCGGGACUGUCAAAUAGUAAGAGACAAUGAAAAGGAGGGAACUGUCUUUUAAGCUGUGGCUUCAGACGGAGGGCUCGCAUUUACGUCACAAACAGCAUUGCAGAGGACUCUAUUACAGCUAGAACCAACUCAAGCACACAAUGGUGACACACAUUUAUAAGAACUCCCUGUGAUAUGAAAGUUUCCCUGUGGUAGUUAUUCAGAUUCUUCUCAUUCUCAUUGUGUAGCACUGGUUUAAAGGGUUAGUUC